AGUGAACGCUGGCGGCGUGCUUAACACAUGCAAGUCGAACGAGAACGGGUUAUAGCUUGCUAUAAUUGUCAGCUAAGUGGCGCACGGGUGAGUAAUGUAUAGGUAAUAUGCCUCUUACUAAGGGAUAACAAAUGGAAACGUUUGCUAAUACCUUAUACUCCUUAUUAACAUAAGUUAAUAAGGGAAAGAUUUAUUGGUAAGAGAUUAGCCUGUAUUGUAUCAGUUAGUUGGUGGGGUAAUGGCUUACCAAGACUAUGAAACAUAACUGGUUUGAGAGGAUGAUCAGUCACACUGGAACUGAGAGACGGUCCAGACUCCUACGGGAGGCAGCAGUGGGGAAUAUUGCACAAUGGACGAAAGUCUGAUGCAGCAACGCCGCGUGGAGGAUGACACAUUUCGGUGCGUAAACUCCUUUUAUAUGAGAAGAUAAUGACGGUAUUAUAUGAAUAAGCACCGGCUAACUCCGUGCCAGCAGCCGCCGUAA
rnacentral:rRNA from 1 species